rnacentral:lncRNA from 1 species
UUCAAGAAAACUGACACAUUAUAUGGUACUAGGAGAGGAGAAACUACAAAAUGCCUAGUUUUUGCAAAGUCAAUGGAUUUUGAUCCCUUCACUCUAGGCGAGUUCUUUCAUCUAUUAAGGAACACAGAUUGUUGUAAAAUAGUAUUUUAUUUGUAAACAUAUUUCAUGGUAUCAUUCAGGUGACAGGACUUAUUAAUUGAACAUAUCUCGCCUGUUGAAAGAACAUCCUAAAGUUUGAAGCAGCUAAGCAAAUUUUAGCUAUUUCAUUUAUUCAGGAGUAUAUAAGCAAUCAAACAUUGGUGGAAUUGUUGACAAAUGUUGUUAUCUAAUGUUCUUAUUUAAUUAAUAUUGCAUAAAGAAAGUGUCUUUCAAAAACUAAGAUUUAAAAAAAACGUUCAUUUAUUAAUACUCAAUUCCUGAAUUAGUACAGAAUAAAACUCUGUGGUAAUUGGUUGGAGAUUGGAGAGGCCCCCUUUUCUGAAUAGACCCAACUAGUAAAGUACAUGAAGAAUGAAAAUUCAAGGUUAAUAUGCAUUUGUGUGAAGAAAAAAACAACAGCAACCUAAGUUACCCAACCAAGAAUAAUACAAUAGCUGUUUUGAAAUCUUUAUAUUCCUAAAUAAUUGUAAAUAUCAGUUUUGUUGGAGUUCUUGUUAUUGUAAUCCCUUAUUGUUUCUGGGUUGUUCUUUUCAAAUUAUUCUGUUUUGUUUCUUGUAUUUUAAGUCAAUUUUCUAAAACUUAACAUGGUAAUUGAGACCAGAUAUCAUUUUCAGUAGCUUCAUGAUAAUGAUAACUGAUUAAGUUAGUUUUAAGUUAAUAUUCAAAUAUUAUAACAGCACAUUUUGUAGUGCUAAACAUAACCUACUGAAAAAUUCAGUAUCUGAAAAUAGGAGUUACUGUAGGUGUCCAAAAGUACUCGCACAUUACAACUUUUUACUGCUUAGCUGCUGACCAAAUAUGAAGUCUGCUAUUCAAUAGUCCUGGAGAAAUGGGUGACUAAUUCCUUUCAACAUAUUGAAACAUUCAAAGCACCAGUAAACAGGAAGGAGGUGUCCAUCAGAUCUGAAAAGUGCCUAUGUGUUACCAUUUAUCACUCUCAAGUGGCUGACCAUAGGUCAAUCUGUCAGUCCCUUAGAAAUGGAUGAUGGAAAUAUUUGUUUAACAAACAGAUGACUGAUCCUCAAGGAGAAUGCAAUAUAGCCCCCACUCCUAAGUGAGGGUACAAAUAAAUAAUAUCAGAAUGCACACAAAAAGUUGUUUUUUCUUCUUUUGUCAUCGAAUUUUUUAAUGGUAUGUACCAGUACAAUCUAGUAGAGCACAGAGCUGUUCCAACUACAUAAAACGUAGAUAGAAUUAGACAUGUACUAUUACAAAACAUA